rnacentral:rRNA from 1 species
ACUUAAAUUGAAGAGUUUGAUCAUGGCUCAGAUUGAACGCUGGCGGCAGGCCUAACACAUGCAAGUCGAGCGGUAACACAGAGAGCUUGCUCUCGGGUGACGAGCGGCGGACGGGUGAGUAAUGUCUGGGAAACUGCCUGAUGGAGGGGGAUAACUACUGGAAACGGUAGCUAAUACCGCAUAACGUCGCAAGACCAAAGUGGGGGACCUUCGGGCCUCAUGCCAUCAGAUGUGCCCAGAUGGGAUUAGCUAGUAGGUGGGGUAAUGGCUCACCUAGGCGACGAUCCCUAGCUGGUCUGAGAGGAUGACCAGCCACACUGGAACUGAGACACGGUCCAGACUCCUACGGGAGGCAGCAGUGGGGAAUAUUGCACAAUGGGCGCAAGCCUGAUGCAGCCAUGCCGCGUGUAUGAAGAAGGCCUUCGGGUUGUAAAGUACUUUCAGCGAGGAGGAAGGCGUUAAGGUUAAUAACCUUGGCGAUUGACGUUACUCGCAGAAGAAGCACCGGCUAACUCCGUGCCAGCAGCCGCGGUAAUACGGAGGGUGCAAGCGUUAAUCGGAAUUACUGGGCGUAAAGCGCACGCAGGCGGUCUGUCAAGUCGGAUGUGAAAUCCCCGGGCUCAACCUGGGAACUGCAUUCGAAACUGGCAGGCUAGAGUCUUGUAGAGGGGGGUAGAAUUCCAGGUGUAGCGGUGAAAUGCGUAGAGAUCUGGAGGAAUACCGGUGGCGAAGGCGGCCCCCUGGACAAAGACUGACGCUCAGGUGCGAAAGCGUGGGGAGCAAACAGGAUUAGAUACCCUGGUAGUCCAUGCCGUAAACGAUGUCGACUUGGAGGUUGUGCCCUUGAGGCGUGGCUUCCGGAGCUAACGCGUUAAGUCGACCGCCUGGGGAGUACGGCCGCAAGGUUAAAACUCAAAUGAAUUGACGGGGGCCCGCACAAGCGGUGGAGCAUGUGGUUUAAUUCGAUGCAACGCGAAGAACCUUACCUACUCUUGACAUCCAGAGAACUUAGCAGAGAUGCUUUGGUGCCUUCGGGAACUCUGAGACAGGUGCUGCAUGGCUGUCGUCAGCUCGUGUUGUGAAAUGUUGGGUUAAGUCCCGCAACGAGCGCAACCCUUAUCCUUUGUUGCCAGCGGUCCGGCCGGGAACUCAAAGGAGACUGCCAGUGAUAAACUGGAGGAAGGUGGGGAUGACGUCAAGUCAUCAUGGCCCUUACGAGUAGGGCUACACACGUGCUACAAUGGCAUAUACAAAGAGAAGCGACCUCGCGAGAGCAAGCGGACCUCAUAAAGUAUGUCGUAGUCCGGAUUGGAGUCUGCAACUCGACUCCAUGAAGUCGGAAUCGCUAGUAAUCGUAGAUCAGAAUGCUACGGUGAAUACGUUCCCGGGCCUUGUACACACCGCCCGUCACACCAUGGGAGUGGGUUGCAAAAGAAGUAGGUAGCUUAACCUUCGGGAGGGCGCUUACCACUUUGUGAUUCAUGACUGGGGUGAAGUCGUAACAAGGUAACCGUAGGGGAACCUGCGGUUGGAUCACCUCCUUACCUUAAAGAA